rnacentral:rRNA from 1 species
AUACGUAGGUGGCGAGCGUUGUCCGGAAUUAUUGGGCGUAAAGCGCAUGUAGGCGGUAAUUUAAGUCUGUCGUGAAACUGCGGGGCUCAGCCCCGUAUGGCGAUGGAAACUGGGUUACUUGAGUGCAGGAGAGGAAAGGGGAACUCCCAGUGUAGCGGUGAAAUGCGUAGAUUUUGGGAAGAACACCGGUGGCGAAGGCGCCUUUCUGGCCGUGGUCUGACGCUGAGAGGCUAAAGCCAGGGUAGCGAACGGGAUUAGAUACCCCGGUAGUCCUGGCCGUAAACGAUGGGUACUAGGUGUGGGAGGUAUCGACCCCUUCCGUGCCGGAGUUAACGCAAUAAGUACCCCGCCUGGGGAGUACGGCCGCAAGGCUUAAACUCAAAUGAAUUGACGGGG